UAGGAUCGUGGCGCAAAAAGACAUCUGAAACUCCCAACUUUCUCCUCCUUCCACUCCGCUCCUACUCGAUACCACUGAGGAAGGUUACUGAGUCUAGGAACAACCAAUCUAAGAUUUGUGCUCUUAUUUUCGUAGACAAUGGCGAGCACAGCUUGCUUCAUCAUUGUUAGCAGAAAUGACAUUCCUAUAUAUGAGGCCGAAAUGGGAUCGGCAGUUAAG